AAGUUGCGCAUGCGCAGAUGUGGAAGCGCGAGGGGGGGCUCAUUACUAUUCCCUCAUAAAUAAAUGCCUCGUUAUUGAAUAAUAUAAAGUUAUAUUCAUUAGGUAAAUCAAAUAUAAAUAAAUAUUAAGUAUCCAUAAACUCCUUCCUAGAAAACAUUCUCCUCAGACGCUCAUAAAUUGCCUCAGCUGAAAUACAUAAAAUGCAUACUUUUGAAAUAAUCACACAUGAACGCUGAGAGACCCAUUUAAUCCACAGGAUUUCCAUAAAACAAAUAUUUCUCAUGAAGAAUAAUUUUCCACAGAUAAUUUCUUAAAAUGUGGAUUUCCCCCCCUCUUUUCUCUUUACCUCAUAGAAUAGCUCCUCAAGGCACGAACAGAAAAUCCUUCGUUUUAUCCCCCUUUUAUCACAUUUUCUGUAACAGAUUAUGUUAUAUUUGCUGAUUAAUAUCCUACAGCCUUUUAAAUGUAUCUGUGGGAAGGGGGGGAGUUAUUGUUUCAUUGUUUUGGUUUAAUUAUUCACUUGUGUUUUAACUUGUAUUUUAUUAUGUGAACUGCCCUGGGGAUCUCUUGAUGAAGGCCGGUUAAUGAUGAUGAUGAUGAUGAUGAUGAUGGUUGUAUACAACUUAACAGCAAAAUCCUAAACAUGUUUAGUCAGAAGUAAGCUCCAUUCAUUUCAGUGGGUUUCCUCUUUGGAAGACUUCACUGGAUGCAGCCCCAGUUACCUCGACCAUGUAUAGAAUUAUUAUUUUAUUAUUAUUAUUAUUAUUAUUAUUAUUAAAUUCCCUGUGGUUACAUUGAGAAACCCAUAUAGAACACACACAACACACACCCCGAACCUUUUUCAGAUUUAAAAAUCCCUUGACCCUUAACCAUACAUUUAUAUUUAUCAGCCAUCAAACUAAUUAUUGUGGGGGCAGGAAACACUCAGGUUGGUGUACGAUGAAGACAUUUAAACAUUGCAAAAUCAUAAAAUCAUAACAUAC